GCCUUCGUGAUGUAAUUGGCCAGCACACUCGAGUCGUAUUCGAGAGGUCCGAGGUUCGAGUCCUGGCGGGGGAA
rnacentral:tRNA from 1 species